GAUGAACGCUGGCGGCGUGCCUAAUACAUGCAAGUCGAACGAAACUUCUUUAUCACCGAGUGCUUGCACUCACCGAUAAAGAGUUGAGUGGCGAACGGGUGAGUAACACGUGGGCAACCUGCCCAAAAGAGGGGGAUAACACUUGGAAACAGGUGCUAAUACCGCAUAACCAUAGUUACCGCAUGGUAACUAUGUAAAAGGUGGCUAUACUACCGCUUUUGGAUGGGCCCGCGGCGCAUUAGCUAGUUGGUAGGGUAAAGGCUUACCAAGGCAAUGAUGCGUAGCCGAAUUGAGAGGUUGAUCGGCGACAUUGGGACUGAGACACGGCCCAAACUCCUACGGGAGGCAGCAGUAGGGAAUCUUCCACAAUGGGCGAAAGCCUGAUGGAGCAACGCCGCGUGGGUGAAGAAGGUCUUCGGAUCGUAAAACCCUGUUGUUAGAGAAGAAAGUGCGUGAGAGUAACUGUUCACGUUUCGACGGUAUCUAACCAGAAAGCCACGGCUAACUACGUG
rnacentral:rRNA from 1 species